GAUGAACGCUGGCGGCGUGCCUAAUACAUGCAAGUCGAGCGAACAGACGAGGAGCUUGCUCCGCUGACGUUAGCGGAGGACGGGUGAGUAACACGUGGAUAACCUACCUAUAAGACUGGGAUAACUUCGGGAAACCGGAGCUAAUACCGGAGAAUAUAUUGAACCGCAUGGUGCAAUAGUGAAAGACGGUUUUGCUGUAACUUAUAGAUGGAUCCGCGCCGCAUUAGCUAGUUGGUAAGGUAACGGCUUACCAAGGCAACGAUGCGUAGCCGACCUGAGAGGGUGGUCGGCCACCCUGGAACGGAGACACCGUCCAGACUCCUACGGGAGGCAGCAGAAGGGAAUCUGCCGCAAUGGGCGAAAGCCUGACGGAGCAACGCCGCGUGAGUGAUGAAGGUCUUCGGAUCGUAAAACUCUGUUAUUAGGGAAGAACAAAUGUGUAAGUAACUAUGCACGUCUUGACGGUACCUAAUCAGAAAGCCACGGCUAACUACGUG
rnacentral:rRNA from 1 species